rnacentral:lncRNA from 1 species
UCCAAUUGAGGAGGCACUUAAGCGAAAGUCCUCAUAAUUUCUUCAUUUUUCAUUUCCAACCUCUCUCUUCAUCUCUCUCUCUCUCUCUCUCUCACUCACUCUUCUCCCUUCUUUCUUUCCCCGACCACCCUUUUCCCCAGCAACCACCCUAAAGAGCACUGUUAUCCCUAGUUUCUGGUUGAAGUUCGACCGUAAACUUCAUCCCAAACCCAAAACACGAUGAAUGUUCUUCAUGAACAUUCAUCCCCAAACCCAUUUCUUCAACAUUCGUGAACCAUACUCUGUAUUCAACAUGGACCCUAACCUACAAACCCAAAAAUGAUGAACCCUCGCCUAGGUUCAACAUGAACCCUAACCUCCAAAAACGAGAAACAAUGAACCUUAACCCUUACCCUAACCUAAACCCAGAAAUACCCUAAACCUACCCAGAUCGAAAUCAAACUACCUUCGAACCUUAAAUCAGAACCUUCUUAAUCUUAAUUCCACAUGCAAACAAAUAAUCAAUCAUCGAAAAUCCUGAAACCCUAAACCCCUCUUAAUCCCAAACCCUAACCUUAAUCAUCAAACAAACACAACAACAACAACAUUAUAAACAAGGUAACAAACCCAACACUUUUUGCGCCUUAAUAUCUUUUCACCCAAAUGAAUAUAAGAAUCCAAACCCAUCAUUGUUCAGUAAUGCAAUUUUUUUUCCUCAUUGUGCCUGCUAGACCCUUCGAAUAGCUAUAUUAACUAUAUCUGAGUCAUCAAUGAUGUAAAGUUACAUAUCAUUUGCAUGCAAGACUAAUCUUGGUAUGAAAAUGGUUAGUUUUUGCGUGCCUAAAGAAAAUACUGAUUUAGUAGUCUGGUUGCAGGAUGAUAGCUCAAAAGAUUAUAUUGACAUUCAACAAAACAGUUGUAAUGGGCUAUAUAUCUCAGUGGUAUUUAUUUCGCCUUUUCUGUUUGUAUUAUUACCCUUUAUUCCUCAAUGUGAAAAUUAUAUUUAGUUUGAACUAUCAUUCUUUUCUGCUAUGUUGGCGAGGAGGAGAAACUUUUAAGAGCUUGAAGAUUUUUUUUUACACAAACGUUUUAUAUUCUUAGUUUAAUAAUAAUUCUUACAGAAAAUACCAUUUCAUUUCACUUUGUACACUGUUUUCAAGACUAAAAUAGAAGGUUUGGAGGGAGGGUUGUAGAUGAAAAAAUAGAUAAUUUAUUUCCUAAAUUUUGAGAACAAUAAAAAAUUUGAACUAUAUUUUUAAUUGAUGAUACACAUGAGAUAUAGGAAACAUAUUAUAGAUAUUAGGGGUAGACAAAAAAAAUCAAAUCCAACCCAAACUGAUUUAACCGAUGAAUACAAAAGAAACGGGUGAUGAAAAACUAAAACAUAUAACUGUGGUUCACAUUUUUUGGUUUUCAGUGUGUUACUACGAAAUCUGAUUUUGAUUAUGAAACUAAAACAUAACCGAAUCCGACUGAAUUUUUAGUAUGUUUGAUAUCUCUUUAGUUUUUAUUUAAAAAUUUAACUUUAAUGUAAAAAUAAAAUGUCUCGACACUCAAAAUUUUAAAUGUGCCUAGCCUAUGCAUGAUUGACGAAACACAUUAUUAAUUAAUACUCUUCCUUUUGACAGAGUAAGUAUCAUAUGCUCGGAAGAAAUGAAAUGACAAUUCAUUAUUUUAUUAAAUUAAUACUUCGUUAAAAAAUACAUUUUCUUUUCUCUACGCUUAUUACUUCUGCUUUUCCACUUUCUUCACACACCAUCAAACAAUUUUUGUUUAGGAAAAAUCAAAUUGAACAUGAGUUCUAUGAAGCAUAUUUCAUCUUACUAAUUUCUGAUUACCAAUGUUAUUGUUAUUUUCUUAAAACAAGAGAUAAAUGAACUUUUCUUUCUCAUUGACUUUUCUUGCAAUAAGGUAUAUUGUUCAUCAUCUCAUAUCUAUGUAAUAUGUAUCACAUCCUCACUACACCAUUAUCACUCUUCUAGAUCUAAUUCACCACCAAGAGAGAGACAAGGAAGAUGAACGUUAAGUGUGUUUUAUGCCAAAGCUCCAUGUAUUACAAUUGAUAACAGAUAGUAGAAAAGGGCCAUUAGGCCUGGAACUGUAAUUACACAUUUUUAUAAAAAGGAAAGUCCUAUACUAUAUACAAAAAAGGUAUUGGGCCAUAACAAGUAAAAACCACUAAGCCGAAUAUUAGACAGCAAAGCCCAAAUAAGAAAAGCUAAUUAUCUAAUACCCCCAUAAGUUUGGGGGUAAAUAGAAUGAAGACCAAGCUUAGUGAUGUUAUAGAAUAAAUAUUUGAAGUUCAAAGGCUUUGUGAAAACAUAUGCAAGCUAUUGUGAAGAAGAGACGGGAAGGAGAUAAAAGAGGUCAUGCUGAAGCUUUUCACGCACCAGAUGACAGUCUAAAUCAAUAUGCUUUAUGCGCUCAUGGAAGGAUGAAUUACUUACAAUAUGUCUGGAAGAAGCAUUGUCAUAAUACAUGAGGUUUGGUAGCUUGAAAGAGAUAUGGAGUUCUUUGAGAAUGUUGGUUAAUCAUUAGAGUUCAUAAACUGUGGAUGCCAUGGAUCUGUAUUCUGCUUCGGUAGAGCUAUGAGACAUAAUUGGUUUCUUUUUAGUUUUCCAAGAAAUAAGUGGAUCUCAUAGAUAAAUGUAGAAACCUGUGAUGGAUUUGCGUGUUUCCAUACAAGUUACCCAAUCUGAAUCUGAGAAGGCUUUAAGUUGUAGAGAAGAAUUGCUUGGAAAGAAUAAACCUUGGCCCGGAUAAGACUUGAGAUAGCGUAACACUCAAAAGAGCCGCAUUCUAGUGAAGAUCGGUGGGAUGACUCAUAUGUUGACUGAGUUGUUGACCUGAAUACGAGAUGUCAGGCUUGGUGUUAAGUAAGUAAAUAAGUUGUCUAACAAGCCUUUGGUACUUAGCAGGAUCUUGCAUAGGAAUGCCAUCAGUUGUCUUUAAUUUGGUGUCUCGAGCCAUGGGAGUUAUGGCAGGUUUGCAGCCCAGUAAUCCAGCAGUUGAAAGGAGAUCAAAUGUGUGUUUUUGUUGACAAAUAUUAAAUCCCGAGUCACCUCUUGCCACUUCUAAGCCUAAGAAAUAUUUCAAUAUGCCAAGAUCCUUGAUAUGAAAAGUCACCUCUUGCCACUUCUAAGCCUAAGAAAUAUUUCAAUAUGCCAAGAUCCUUGAUAUGAAAAUGAUGUUGUAGUGUAUGCUUUUCUUUGUUGAUGAUGUCCAUAUUAUUUCCUGUAAUUAUAACGUCAUCAACAUAUAUCAACAAUACAGUAAAUUGUUCUUUGGAUUGAUGUAUAAAUAGGGAGUGAUCAGAAGAGGAUUAUUUGAAGUCAUUGGUGAGUAAAAAAUUGGAUAACUUUUCAAAUCAUUGUCUACUUGAUUAUUUCAAUCCAUAAAUAGAUUUGAGAAGUUUGCAAACUUGAUUUGGGUAAGAAUGUGUAAUUCCUUUAGGUAAAUACAUGUACACCUCGUCAUCCAAGACUCCAUGAAGAAAAGCAUUGUGCAGAUCAAGUUGAUGAAGAUAUAAGUUUAAAGAGAAGGCAAGAGCAAUAAGUAAUCUUACAUUUGUAAGCUUUGCAACAUGAGAAAAUGUAUAAAAUAAAUAAAUAUCUUGAAUUUGGUUGAAGCCUUGAACAACUAACCUCGCUUUAUGUCUUUCUAUUGUGCCAUAUGAAUUGAAUUUGGUCUUAUAGACCCAUUUGCAACCUAUAAAUUUCUUACCUGGUGGUAAAGUGGUGAAAUUCCAUGUGUGGUUGUCUGUUAAAGCUUGGAUUUCAACAUUUAUAGCCUUGAUCCAAUGAGGAUGAAGACUAGCUUGCUUAUAAGUAGCAGGAUCACAUGCAGUAGUAAUGGAAGAUAUGAAAGAAUAAUAUGCAUGGGAAGUAUGAUGAUAUGAAAUGUAUUUUGAAAUAUCAUAAGAAAUGAUGUGUGAUAUGUAUUGAAGACAUAAUCAUUCAAAUAUGCAGGUGCAUAUUUGGUUCUAGUAAACUUCCUAAUAGUAGUGAUGUCAAGAGAAGUGUCAGGAUCAAAAGUAGGUGUGUGAUCAGUAUGUUGAAUUGGCUCAUUGGAAGGUGGGGAAUUUUGAGGGCUGGUGGGAGAAUUAAGGGAAUCUUGAGGAGUAAGGUUGUCAGGUAUGUGGUCAGAGUUGAUGGGAUGGUAUAUGGAAGUAAGGUGGUAAAAAGGAAUGGAAUGGUUUAUUGUUCAUUACCAAGGGUAGGAGCAUAAGUGUUGUUAGUGGUGGGAUGAGGUGUGUAGGGAAAUGUGUUUUCAUAGAAAAUACAAUUUCUGGAGGUGAUAAUGGACCUAUUAUUGAGAUAAAAAAGAGGAGAUAUCCUUUAAUACCCAUGGGAAAACCUAGAAAUAAGCAUUUUGUGGAUUUAGGAUCUAGUUUGUCCCUAUGUCUUGUGAUGGUGGAAGCAUAGGCAAGACAUCCAAAGGUUUUAAGGUGCGUGAAGGAUGGAGGUUCUUUGAAAAGAAGCUCAUAAGGAAUGUUGUUUUGCACGACAAAGGGAAAAAGAACAAAAAAAACUUAGGGAAGUUGGCAUGGAAUAAAAGGGAUCUAGUAACAUUAACUAAGUGGAUAUGUUUUCUCUCAACAAUGUAGUUUUGUUGAGCUGUUUCAAUAUAAAUUAUUUGAUGUAAGAUCCCUAGAGAUGCAUAAUAAGAUGACAUAAGAAAUUCAGUUCCAUUAUCACUUCUAAUGAUUUUGAUGAAAUUGAGUUUGGCAAUAAAAUGAUGAAAUUUUUAAUGUGAAUUCUAGUUUCAAAUUUAUGAGUCAUGAGAAAAGUCCAAGUAUAACGUGUGAAAUCAUCAACAAUAGUUAAAAAAUAUUAGAAACUAUCCAAAGAAGGAACAUGUAUAAGACCACAUAUAUGCAUAUGUACUAAAUCAAAGUAAUGAGCUGAAACAAAAGUACUUAUAGGAAAGGGAGGCCUACAUUGUUUAUCUAAAUGGAAAGUGUGGCAAAGAGAAUUCUUAUUGUAUUUGAUAGUAGAAAUAUUUUGUGACGUAUUAUGUAAAACCUCAUUAGAAGGAUGUCCUAAGUGAUGAUGCCACAAGGAUAAAUCUACAUUAUCUGAAUCUUUAAAACUAGCCGAGUUACAAGUAUUAGGAUGUGCAAAAUUGUAGGGUGUAUUGUGGACAGGGACUUUGUGAAGGAUGUAAAGGUUAUUAUAAUGAGUCAUUUGUCCAAUCAUCCGCUUGGUACAUACAUCCUGAAUGUAACAGGAAUUGUGUAAGAAUGAAAUGCUAUAAUAUGGCAUAUUUAGAGAUAGAGAUUAGGCUAAACCUAAACUCGGGGAUAUAAAAAAUAUUGUGCAGGUGAAAGAAGUGAUCAAGUAUAAUAGUUUCAUAAAAAUUUGCAGUAAUAUGAGUCCCAUUAGGGAGAUGAAUAUAAACAGGAUCAAUAACUUUAAUAUCUGAAAUGCACUUGAUAUAGGGGCAUACAUGAUGAGACGCCCAUGAAUCAAAGAUCCACAUAGAAGGUAUUUGAGAUUCAAUACCUCUAUUAAUGAUACCUGAGAUUAUGUGGUUGUUAGGAUUAGGAACUUUAUCAGUCUUGGGAUGCUGAUGAUCCUUCCGGGGUUGUUGGAGGAGAAGAAGUUAGUGUUGGUAAUCCUCCUUAGAAAUGACACCUUCUUUGUCUUAAGUCUGUGUAGUCUUGGACUCCAAAGAAAACUUUGUAUUCUCGUUCCGAUAUCCAGGUGGAAACCCAUGUUUGAAAUAACAGGUUUCCACUGUAUGAUUUGUUUUGCUGCAAUUGAUGCAUAACAUGGAAUUCUUCGAGUUUCCUUUACCUUUGCCCUGAGUGUUAUUGUUAUUGUUGGCAUAUAUAAUGGUUGAGUUGGGUGCAAGGUAGGUGGAGCAACCACUUGUUGUUGAGAAAUAAGUGAAUAAACGCGAUUGAUGCUGGAAAUCAAAUCUAGGAGCAAGCUUUGUGUCAGAAUCUUAUGAUAGUUAUCGUUUAAACCCUUCAAAAAACACGAAACAUACUCCAUAUGCUUGUAAUUGCAAACGAUUUUGGCCAAAUCACAGGUGUAGGGUGUGGGGAAUGAACAAGAAGGGGUUGAUCGGAAAUCUUCUAAUUCAUCCCAGAGGAUCUUGAGAUCAGUGAAGUAUGUAGACAAAGAUCUAUCACUUUGUUGAAUGGAAUGCAGAUCACAGAGAAGAUCGGAGAAUCGAAAGUGAUUACAUUUGGUGAAGCGUUCUUGAAUAUCUCUCCAAAGAUCGAAAGUCGAAUUGAAGCAAAUGGUGCUUUAUGCGAUGUGAGGUGAAAGGGUACGAUUGAUACAAGAAAGUACCAUAUUAUUCGUACGAUCCCAUAGCUCGUAAUUCGGAUCAGAGAAGGUUGGUUUGGGGAGAUUACCAUUGAUGAAGGGGAUUUUUCUCUUCGAUGUCAAGUCACAAUACAUGAAUUUACUCCUGUUGUGAUAAUUGUUAUCAUCGAGAGGUGGUGCAACUAGGGUGGCGCUAGGGUUCUCACUAGGAUAAAGAUAAAAGGGGUUUCUAGGGUUCAAGAUUAGAUCUGUGGGUUCGAUCUUGAAAUUAUCGUGAUUUUCGCGUGACAAAGUUGCGACGUGAUUGCCAUGUUAUAAAAAAAUUUAGAUUUUUUUUCCAGUCUUUCCAUGUGCAAGUCUGACUCUCAAUUUUUUAAUAAAUAAAAACAUGUAACGACGUGAUUAUCACGUCGCAACUCCCUUUUUUGCCACGUGAUUUUCACGUCAUUAUAUCACGUGGUUGGAGAAAAGUUUUCUUGUUGUGGUUAAUGUAAUGAUUCAUAUUUUAAUUCCUAUUUAAACAAACUAAAGCAUUAUCAUUACCAAUUUUUACAUUUUAAAAUUCCAAAUCAUCUAUAUCAGUAGGCAUUCAUCAUCUUCUCAACAUCUCAUUGUAGUCAUUCAUCAUUUUAUCGUAGAAUAUUUUUUCUAACUGUUAUUGUUUAUUAUUGUUGUGGUAGAAUGAUCGUAAGACGUAUUGCAUAGACACCACUUAACAGAGGAAGAUAUUUUUUACUUGAUCAAUCAACAAGGUAAUGCAAAUAAAAUUUGGAUAAUUAAACAUUCUCAUAUUUUCUUACUUCAAUUCAAUAUUUAUGCAGGAUGAAUAUGAUUAUCGUAGAUGUUUUGUCCAGGUUGAUAGAUUGAAUUUCUCACAAAUUCAAAUAAUGAAAUUUUGUAAACACAUCCCAUUGAACAUGGCAAAGAGAACAAGAUCCAAGUGUCAGAAGGAUACGUUUAGAAAUCUGAAAUGAAAGCGAAUUUGAAUUACCUUAGAAAUGAGUUAAAUCUUUUAAGUUUUUUUAGCAUUAAGUUUUUUUAAUACAUUUCUUUUUAAAUACAUGGUAUUAAAAAACCAUAAAAAAUGUUUACUACAUUAAUAUUUAAUUAUUUAUAAUAUAUAUUUGUUUUUAUUGUCAAUGACAUAUUUUAAUACAUUUCUUUUUAAAUACAUGGUAUUAAAAAACCAUAAAAAAUGUUUACUACAUUAAUAUUUAAUUAUUUAUAAUAUAUAUUUGUUUUUAUUGUCAAUGACAUUCUUCUUAUCCCUAACACUAUUUGUCUAUUAAUUUUACGAAAUCUAAAUUUAUUUUAAAUGUUGAAAUUUAAAAUGACCCGAUUUUAAGUGACGAGACAUUUCAAUAAAUUUUUUAAUUUCACUUAGUGUAAAUCAGUCAUCCUUACAUCUUGUCAACCAAAAGUUAAAUCUCAUAAAAUAUUAUGUGCAUUGGACUCGAAAAAAAUAGUUGAAAGAUAGUGAUUUGGAUCGCUUCCCCUGUAUCUAAUUCAGGGGUGGACAAAUAGAUGGUUUUGGGCAGUGGUGGACCCAAAAUCUUAAUCUGACUUAAAUCACAAUUUUGAUUUGAAGACCCAAUUUCGUCCGUUUAUAAAUCAAUUUUUUUGGAUUACGAUAUUUUGGAUAAGUCGGUUGGUUCGGUCGGCUAGUUCAAUUUAUUGCAGAGAUUAUUUCAUCGAUUAUUUCAUCUUUUGGGUUUUUUAAUUAUAGUUCUGACCUCCACAUAGUAUUAGAUAAUUAGCUUUUUCUUAUUUGGGCUAUGCUGUCUAAUAUCGAGCUUAGUGGUUUUUACUUGUUAUGGUCCAAUAUAUUUUUUUUAGAUAGUACAAGACUUUCCUUUUUGUAACAAUGUGUGAUUCAUAAUUCAAUACAGUUCUAGGACAAAUGACCCUUUUUUGUUAUCUGUUAUCAAGUAUAAUAAUAUGGUAUCAGGAUACUACACCAUUUCUUUCACCUUUUCCCCUUUUCAUCGUCAUCUUCUACCCUCGCAUAAAACAAAGAUUCAUCGUCUUCAUCCCUACUUUUCAUGGCUUUCGAUGAUGAAUCAAAUGAAAAUUGAGAGUCAGACUUGCACACGGAAAAAGUAAAAUAAAAAAAAUAAAAAGAUCAGACGUAUACAGGUUGGGUGAUAGGGGAAAUUUGAAAAAAUUUAAAUUUAAGUUGUGACGUGAAAAUCACUUCGCAAUGUUAAAUUAAAAAAUAAAAAAACGUUUAGGAGAGAAAAUUGUGAAGUAAAAAUCACGUGGCAAAAUUGUGAAGUGAAAAUCACGUGACAAAGUUGUGAAGAAAAUUUGAGAAAGAAACUGAAUCUGAGCUGCGUGUGAUAGAAAAAAUUUGGAACUAUAUAGAGCAAUCAUCAACGUGAUUUUCACUUCACAACUUUGCCACGUGAUUUUCACUGCACAACUUUACCACGUGAUUUUCACUUUACAACUUUGCCACGUAAAAUAAAAAAGUCAGGCGUGCACAGGUUGGUAGGGGAAAUUUCAACAUUUCAAAAUUUUAGUUGUGACAUGAAAAACACUUCACAACGUUAAAUUAAAAAAAAAACUUUUAGGAGAGAAAGUUUUGAAGUCAAAAUCACGUGGCUAAUUGCUCUAUAUAUUUGCAGAUUUUCUCUCUGCUUAGAUUAAGUUUCUUUCUCAAAUUUCCCCUUUCAAUUUUUCCUCCUCCACCAAUUUUCCUCUUCCAACAUUUUUCCUCCUCCAAUAUUUUUCCUCUUCUUUCUCAAAUUCCAACUUUCAAUAUUUAUCUUCAAAUUAAAAGGUAUUUCAAGAAGGCCCAAAAUUUUCAUUUUCAUUUUUCUAUUUUUUAUUUGUUAAAUAUUGUGUUGAUUUUAUUUUUAUUUUAUAACUAACAUUGUUAAAAAAAAAUUCUUCAAGAUUCAAUCAUAAAGCUCAAGAUAUAAGCCCUUUUUUUAUUUUCAUUGAAGUAUUUAAGCAAUUUUUUUCCUGAUUUAAAUAUAUAUAUUGGAUUGUUGGUUGUUGUUAUUGUAGGAUAAUUUUUUUAAAAACAUAAUUUUACUAAAAUAAAUAUAUAAUUAAUCCACAAGUAAUUUAUUAAUAUAUUUAAAUAGAUUUUUUUUAAAACAGAAUAUUAUUUUUCAUAAUAUAUUAUUCUGUUUAUAUAUUAUUUUUAAUAGUUUUUUAUUUUAAAAAUAAAAUCAUUUUUGUAACAUGAUAUUCACUUCACAAUUUUACCACAUGAAAAUCACGUCGCAAUUCAUUAUAACUUUUUCUGCCUUCACAGCUACUACUGAAUUACAACAUAUAUAAUGAGAACAUUUGUGCAGACAACAUAUAUAAUGAGAACAUUUGUGCAGAAUAUUGUGUCAUAAAUAUCACGUGACACACUGUUUCGACGUGAUUUUCACGUGACAAAGUUGCGACAUGAUUUUCGUGACACAACAGAGUUGUCACACGAAUUUCUAUCACGUGAAAAUUCAUGUUACUAAAAACGUGUUGUGAAGUGAUUUUUCACGUUAUAACGUAAAUAUCACGUGAUUUCAGACAGUUUUUUUUAUAGUGAAUAUAUUACAAAUAGAUGAUUAAAAUAACCAAAAUAUGGAUAAAGUAAAAAGUCUUAGUUAAUAAAUUAAAGGAUAAUAAAGUAAUAUAAAUAGAAAAUUAUUAUUAUUUUAUAAUAAAUGAUUUGAUGAAUAUUUUUAACUAUUCAUUCAUAUUAAGCUUUUUUAACGUGGUUUAGGUAAAUAAUAAACAAUUCUUGCAUCGGAAGGUUUUGACGGACUUUAAUGAAGUUAUAUAAGCUUUGUCCAAUAUGUAUGUAUAUAAAAGUCAUAUAUAAAAGGAAUUUCGUAAUGCAUUCUAAGGAAUAUUAUUGCAUUUUUUGAAAAAAUUAAAAAUAUUUUUAGAUUUUAGAUAGAUAUUUUCGGGCACAUUCCAAACAUGCUCACUGCUAAUCUGUUGAGCAAAAAAAAUUAAAUUUAUGUCUUAGCCUCUUUUAUUUCACUAUAAAAGUCACAAAAUCAAAUUCUUUAUGAUUUGAUUUCUUGAUAUUUUGGAUAAAAAUAUUGUUAAAUAUGAAACUGUUCCAAAAUAUGGAUUAAAUUAUUCCUUAAUUUAUUUAGAAUACAAAUAUACCCCACACAUAUUCAAUAACUCUAUAUAAAACAUGGAUUAAAAUAUUAUGACGGUUAAAUCAUUUUAUAGUAUGUUGAUAAAUAUGUAUUAAAUCACGAAAUAUGUUGGGUAAAAAAAGAGAACAAUGGUAUCGUAAUAAAUAUGUAUUCUGACGGUUAAAUCAUUUUGCAUAUUAGUGAAAAAAAGAGGACAAUGUGCAUAAAAUGAAAAUUUAAAGAAAUUAUCCAAGCUAAGGUGUUUAGGCUUAUUAGAAUAUUUUUCCUACCCUUAUAUGGUAAUUCAAUUUGACCCUAUAAUCAUACAUAACUUCCAUGCAAUGAUAGUGUUUGUAAACCCAUGAUCACAAACACUAUCAUUUUACUUUUAAUUUGAUAUGUUCUAAUUUUUUGAGUGCAAAUAUUUGAAUUUUAUUUUAGUGUUUAUAUACUUUUGCGGCAUUAAAGAAGUUAUGAAGAAAUUAAAUGAUGAACAAAAUUUUUAUUAGAAGAUAACGGAAUCAACUACAUUUUAACGUGGAAAAUAAAAGAGAGAUACAAGAGAAAUUAUUCAAUACGAUAUAAGAUAAAACCUUUUCAUACAAAAAUAUAAUACAUUAAAAUAUUGUUUUUCUUGUUAAUCAAAAGUUUACUAAUUAUAGUCUGGAUUUUUUUUACAAAAAAAUAACGUGAAAUCACUCCAUUUUUAUUUUUUAUUUGUUUUUAAAUUUUUAGUUUGUGUUAAUUUGAGUUUUUACCAAUUUCAUUUCUAUUAUUUUUUCCUAUUACAAAUGAAUAAAAUGUAUCAAUUCAUGUAUUCUUCAAUUAGUGAUUCACCAAGCAUUAUGAAUGGAAAUGUAUUUAUCUCUUAAAUUUAGUAAGAUUUAAGUAAAAAAAUUGAUGUAUUGUUUUUUGACAUUGAUAAAUUGUGCAUAUUUAAUUCUAUUCAUAGUUUAUUUUGUAUUUCUUUUAGAAAUGAUACAAUGCUUAAACAUGUAUAAAUAUCUAUUAUUUUUUAUUUUAGAUUGUUUAUCACAAAUUUUAUUACAUAUAUAAUUUAAAUUAAAAUCAAUAUUAAAUAAAAUAUAUAUAUUUAUAUUUUUAUAUGUGUAUAUAUUAUAAAAAGUGGAUAAACAUCAUGAAUGUGUCGGUUUGGACGCUAGUCAAUAAAAAGAUAAAUGAAGAUAAAUCAUAAAUUUUCCACUUUAUCAAAAGUGAAAUCAAAAUCAAAAUUAAAAAAACAAUCAAAAAAUUAAUGAAAUCUAAAGUCAAAUCAAAAACCACUACGGAUUGAAACCACAUGGAAGAUGUGAUUGGGAGGUCGGGUAGAGCUACAUUAGUCAAACAGUUUCCUUCAAUUUAGGGUUUGAAGGAAAUAUAUUUGACUAAAUUUACCAACAUUUAUUUUGUUUUUUUACUUUUAUUAAAAUAUGAAGAAAAAAGAAUUUGUUUAUAAAAUAAUGUAAAAAAAUAUAAAAACUACUUUUUAAUUUUCAUCUUAUUGCUUAGUUGAGUGGAGGGAAAUAACUUUUCUAGUGUUUUACAAAAGAAAAGAGAAAAACACAAAAUAAAAAAAAGGAAAAGUUAAAAUACUAAAACACUAUAAAAAAGAAAGAAUUGGAGAUGAAUUUUCCUAUAAAGAAGAAAACGAAAAUAAAAUAGAAGAUAAGACAUAUACCCAUGAAAUCCUAUAUGCACAUAAUUCGUAUGCCAAUAUACAUGUGUAUCAACGGAUUAUAUCCAUGUAACCUAUAAAUUAUUUUUAGUAUAUGAUAUAAUAAAUUUCUAUAGAUAUAUGUCACAUAUAAACAUACAAGAUUAAUCAACUAUCACUAAAAUGUCGGUUAUAUAUGACACAUUUUUUUAGUGAUUUAUUGUGAAGAAUUCUUAAUAUACAAAAUCUUAAAUUUGUAUAAUCAUGGAUUAAAUAUCAACACUUUAAAUAUAAAACAAAAUUAAGUUAUUUAAAUAUUAAUUAAAUCCAUUUAAUAUAUUUAUUAAAUAUUUGAAAUUUUAAAUAAAUAAUUUAAAACAAAACAGAAAAUUAAAAUUAAUAUCCUUUGUUGUAAAAAGAUUGAACAGUAAUUAAAGAGUACUUUUCACAUUUAAUAUAUUUAUUAAAUAUUUGAAAUUUUAAAUAAAUAAUUUAAAACAAAACAGAAAAUUAAAAUUAAUAUCCUUUGUUGUAAAAAGAUUGAACAGUAAUUAAAGAGUACUUUUCCAAAUGAUCUUAAGGCUUGUUUGUUAUAAAAAAAUUAUAAAAAAAAGAUUUUAAAACAUUUCAGUUUUUCUAAAUAUUUUUUUAAAGUAUGAAAUUGAAAGUUUGUUACAAUUAAUAUCUUUUGCGAUGAGUUAUUAGUUUGAUACUAAUAUUAAAAACGAUAAAAGAGAGAAGUUUGUUUCAAUUUUUUAUUAUAAUAACAUUUUAAGAGAUAGUUUUAAAUAAAAUAAAACUUUAACUGAGAAGUUUGUUAAAACGACAUCCAGUAAAAAAUUAAAUGUUCAUUCCUUUUGUGAUAACUUAAAAAUAAAAAAAUAUAAAAAAAUAAAUAAGAUUGAAUAUUUAAAGUUGUGUUAUUAAUGAUAUAUCUCCCUAAAUAUUAGAACAGACAUAACAACCAAAUCUUAUAUAUUCACACACAACUGCUCAAGACUUAACAUUUACAGCAUCCAACACAAACCCUUCUUCUUCCUUAACAACAUCCAUGUCCGACAACACCAAACCUUCUUCCUUAGAAGCAUCGAACACAAACCCUUAUUCUUCCUUAACUGCAUCUAUGUCACAUAACACCAAACCUUCUUCCUUAAAAGCAUCGAACACAGACCCUUCGAACACACAACCUCGUAAAAGACUUAUCAUCAAGCUCAGUUAUCCUCCUGGUUCAAGAAAACGCGAUUCAGAUUCUUGUGCCACAGAUGAAAACAAGAGAAGGAAGAUUCAAGAUUCUGUAAACCUCGUAAAAGACUUAUCAUCAAGCUCAGUUAUCCUCCUGGUUCAAGAAAACGCGAUUCAGAUUCUUGUGCCACAGAUGAAAACAAGAGAAGGAAGAUUCAAGAUUCUGUAAAACCAACCAUAUCUUGUUAUUGGGUUGAUUCAAAUUAUCAAAUCAAAUCAACACCUUUGUCUCAACCAAAGAAUAAUGGCAAUGUUGUUGAAAACAAGAAUAUGAUCAAGAACCAAGUUUCCAAAACAACACCUUUGUCUCAACCAAAGUAUAAUAACAUUGUUGUUGAAGACAAGAAGAUCAUCAAGAACCAAGUUUCCAACACAACACCUUUGUCUCAACCAAAGGAUAAUGACAAUGUUGUUGAAGACAAGAAGAUGAUCAAGAACCAAGUUUCCAAAACAACACCUUUGUCUCAACCAAAGGAUAACAUGAAGGAUUCAACAACAAGAGGUGAAGAAUGUGGGUUGAAGAAAGCGAUGGAGUGUGUUAAGAGGAGGCAAUGUUGGUUGAUAUUGAAGAGGAUGUUGGUAGACAGAGAUGGUUGGGAUUUGAAAGAUCCUCCAAAAAUUAGCAAGUUGAUAGUGUAAGAUAAAGGCAAUAGGUUUGAAGGAAUAGAGAGAAAAAUGAGGUUGUAUGCAACAGAGGAUGAGUUUGCUAGCGACAUAGGCUUGUGUUCUCUAAUGCAAUGGUAACGUAUCCUCCAAGGAAUCAUAUUUACCAAAUUGCAAAAAAGUUUAGUGACACUUUUGAACACAAAUGGAAGUCAUUGAAGGAUACGUGGGAAUUUGAAGAUACAAAAAGAAGUCAACACUCAAAGAUACUAAGAGUGCAACAUGUUGUGUUCUUAUAAAAAACUGUUCUCAAGUUAUAAACGUUAGACACAAUGUGUUUUCAAAUCUGUCAAGUAUUUUCAAUGAAUUGUAGUAUCUAUGGUCAAUUAUUCUUUACUGUUGAAAGUACAAAUUAUUCUAUCAAAAUUUUGAGAUUAUUCUAUCAAAGUUUUGAGAUCAUAAUGUAUCAUAUAUGUAUGAUAGCAAAACUUCAGUAGUUGUUUUAUAUGUACAUUUCUCUAUAAGCAUCAAAUUAAACCUCCUCCAACAGUGGUUGAUUCAUAUGGCAAGUAGAUUUUUGUUUUUUAAUUAAGCAAUGUUUCCAUUAAAACGAAAAGCAACAAGUAGUAGAUGCUUCUAAUUAUAGUUGCUUCCCUCCAUGCACACUGCAACAAUAUAUGUACGGCACUACCAUGCACCUGCACAUAAAGUUAAGACAGAAUAUUUAAGUGUGUUUAAAUUGCUCCAUGUAUAAUUCUAGCUUUAUUUUAGGCAAGAUGUAGUCCUAUCUUAUUCUCAAAAUUUAGAGGUAGUAUUAAAAAAAGACCAGUUUGAUCUCUAAUUAUUAAGGUCGUUAGAUCAAAGCCACUGGAUCUAACAUACUAGAUCAAUUAACAUAAUAACAUACGUCUAAGAGAAAUAUAUUAUAUUAUCUUCGGAACGCAUGUAACCAUACCUUAUGAAAUCAUUUAAUCAAAAUGAUUAAUUGAAAGAAGUUUGUCGUAUCAAACAACAAAUAAUAUACCAACACUUAACCCAUUACAUUGUAAUUUUGCACAAUAAAGUUAUACGUCCUUAAUACCUUAGACUAAGAUUAUAAAAGAGGGGAAUGCUUCGAAUCAUGUCACACACUUUUUUAACCUAAAAUACCCCUUUUGAUCUCUGAUAAUCCAUGAAUUGGAUAACGGAGUCUUUAUAGGUACUGAAAUCAUGUUCUUAGAAGGAAAAAUGUCCGACACAACAUAUGGGACAAUGUGUAUGAUAAGUUAAAUACGUAACAGAUAGAAUAAUGACUGAAUUAAAAUAACAUUCGAAUUAUUAAUCCACUUACGUGCAAUUGUGAGUUUCUCGUGAGGAAGAAAUUAAUGACUUUGAGAUAAUUCGGUUCGAUGGAAUCAAUGGCAAGGCCAUGAGACAAAGAUAAUUAUAAUGAUGUAUCUUAGGUUCGAGAGUAACCACUGACGUGUACAGAAGUUAGAGGUUUGGAUGAAUAUCGCAUUAUUUUCUUGUUGCAUUCAUGCAUUUUGUAUAUUGAGGAUAGGUAGGACUUCAGUCUAGUGAGGAGUAGGACUUAAAUUUAAAUGACGAGUUGAAUGUUUCAGUAACACACCUCUGAAUAUUUGAAAUAUUGGUACCACAUGCAUGGGGGUAUAUUAGAUGAGACAUUGCAUACAUAAUUGCAUUUGUUGAUUGUAUGAAUGAUUUAACUGUGAUAAUUAUACUAUUUUUGUUGUUGUAUACACCGCAUAUAAAAUGUAUUUCUCGUCCCUUCUUAUUUUUCGUGUUGUUCUUUAUGCAGACUUUCAAAUAGAGACUAAUGAGCAGUAGCUAGUAGCUGUUACUCAUAAAAAUGAUGAUACGUUAAAAUUGAAAAUUAACCUCAAUAACUCUGGCAUAAAUUCUUGCGAAUGUUUUUAAAGUAUAUUAUUUUUUAACUAGGUUUUAGAUUGUUUGCACUUGUGAUAUAGAGCGAAACUAAAAUUUUCCCGUUUAAUACAAUCUACGUAAACUCGCACAUUAAAUAGAUUAGAUAGACUCGAUUUAAUUAUUAACGAGUUGUGAGACGUGUAUCUAAUUUUAGUUUGGGUUAGUAUAUAGAUAAUCAGAGAUUAUCGUAAUCCUUAGCAAAAUAAUAAAUAAUUACAUUUUUGUUUAAAAGUUAAAAAAUUACAAUAUUAAAAUUCAAAUUUCUUAAAAGUUUUAACAAAUUAAUUAUCUUUGACAAUUUUUUUUCCAUUUGUGGAACAAGAAUGAGAGACGUAGGUCUUGGUGUUGACCAUGCUUCUAGCUCUGGUACCAAGUCUAAGACCGGACCGGAUCGAACCGAGACGGUCUAACAAACAACGACAUCGGGCACACAUGUGUAAUAUUUCAUGGAUCUGUGUUCUCACCCAACCAUAAAAUUACACACCCUUGGGCCCAACCCAAUUGUUCAACUUGAAAUAUAACACUAUUAAAGUGUGUUCUUCCUCCUAUGUGGGACUUUAAUGAACUUUUUCAAAUUCACCAUCGUACACUCUAGCUCAUACUUGUGCUCAUUUAUUUCCAACUUAGUGCCACUAACUCUUUCCAAUUCCUUAUUAACCCGUUAAUUUCCAACAAUCCCCUCACUUGAAUUUAAAAAUAGUGAUUUCAGAAAGAAAGCCAAAUGAUUCUAAGAUUGUGCAUAAGCAGAAUCUUGAACUUUUGUGUAGCAAGUAAGAUUCUGAUUCAAUAAGAGUGACACAAUUGCCUUGAAGUUUAGCUUAGACAUCAAACUCACACACAACCUUUUCUUAAUGGCUUUGCACAUGUACCCCAGUUUUUGGAAGACUCUAGAAAUUCUGCCUCAAAAUUUUAUAGGAACCGACAUAAGUUCCACAAUCACAUAUGUAAGUCUAUCAAGAGUACCCCUAUAGCUAUUUACUUCCUCAUACAGGGUAUUGAUCUCAUUAAGAGUUUCUAAUAUAUCAUCCUCUAAUCGCUUCGGGAUUCAUGUUGCUCUUAUUCACACUAGCAUGAUCACAUCAUAUUACUCACAACUUUUUAUUACCCAUUGAACUUAUUUCUUGGGAUCUCCAGGCUAUUAGGUCGGGUUUCCAUAAUGAGAAACUGACUUCUCUAUAGGAAUUUGUCUCAUCUUCUUGGAUGUAUUAUCUAAUUUCUCUCGAGCUAAUCUUUUCGUCAAAGGAUCUGCUAAAUGUUCAUCAAUGCGUACAUGAUCCACUCUUACAAAUCCUUUAGAGAUACAAUAUCUAACUAUGACGUGAUUUAUUCUAAUUUGAUGUCUUUUUCCAUUAUAAGAACGAUUCUCAAUUUUUGCAAUAGUCGUGGUACUAUCGUAGUGGAUCAACACAGUUGGCACAAGUUUUUCUAAUAAAGGGAUGUUAGCUAGGAAACAUCUUAACCAACUUGUUUUUUUCACUAACAGACGUUAAUGCUAUCAUCUCAAACUCCAUCUUGGAUUGACCUAAGAUAGACUGUUACUUUGAUAGCCAAGAUAAAACUCCUCCAACUAUAUUAAAUAUAUAGCCACAAAUUGCUUUGAAAUCAUCUGAUAAGGUAUUUUAAUCUACAUUAUUGUAUCCUUCAAGUACAACAAGAAAUAUCUGAUAAUGUAAACCGAGAUUCAUGGUUCUUUUAAGAUACAACAUCACUCUCUCAAUAGAUUACAAAUUCUCAUUACUCGGUCUACUAUAUAACAUGCACAACAAUUCUACGACAUGCAAUGUCGUGUCUAGUACAAUCAGUAGCAUACCUAAGACGACCAAUGAUACUAGCAUAUUCUGUUUCUGUGACACUAUCACAAGUGUUCUUAAAUAGUUUGACACUUAGAUCAUAUGGUGUGGAAGAAGGUUUGCAGUCAAAGUAGUUAUAUUUCUUUAAGAUCAUCUCUACAUAAUUAGAUUGAUCCAAAUAAAUUCCUUUUUCGGAUCAAGUGAUCUUGAUUCGAACAAUCAUACUCGCUUAUCCGAGGUCUUUCAUAUCAAAGUUAUUGCUUAAAGUUUAUUUCACAUUACUAAUAGACGGUGUUUGAUCCAAAUAUGAGUAGAUCAUCUACAAAGAGACAUAUGAUAUAGCAAAUGCGAUUAUCAUAUUUGUAAUAAACGAAUUUGUCAUUUCAUUCACCUUAUACCCAUUCGAUAUCAUUAAGUUAUCAAAAUUUUCAUGCCACUACUUAGGAGCUUGUUUUAGACCAUAUAGAGACUUAUCUAACUUACAAAUCUUGUCUUCUUGUUCAUGAAUUGCAAAGCCUUCUGGAUGGUCCAUAUAGAUUUAUUUUUCUAAGUCAUCGUUUAAAAAAGUUGUUUUAACAUCCAUUUGGUGUACUAUUAAGUUAUAAAUAACAACAGUUGAAAUGAGUACCCUAAUGGAUGUAAUUCUAGUGACUGGAGAAAAAUUAUCAAGGACAUCUAUAUUUUCUCUUUGCCUAAAACCUUUGGCUACAAGGAGAGCCUUGUAAUUAUCAAUGAUUUUAUCAGGUUUUAGUUUAUUUUUCAAAACCCAUUUACAGUCGAUUGGUUUGCAACCAAGACACAAGUCUACUAAGUGUCAGGUCCUACUAGAUUCUAGAGAAUCCAUCUCAUCGUUAAUAGCUUCUUGAAACAAAUAUGCAUCCAAAGAUGACAAGACUUCUUUAAGAUUUGUUGGAUCUUCUUCUACUAUAUAGAAUCGGGCCCAUAGUCUUUAGCAACUUUUACUUGUUUACUUCGUCGAAGUUUUGUCUCUACUUUAUCGUUGCUUUUGGUACUUCUUAUCACAUGAAUAAGAUUCAAUUUAGUGCCCCCACUAUUUCUCUAUUUGAAAGCAAAUUUGUCUUUGUAGAAUUCCAUAUCAAUUAAUUUUAUGAUAACUUUAGCAUUUAGGUCAUAACACCUAUAAGCCUUAAUAUUUGUUGCAUAAAUUAAUUUUAUGAUAACUUUAGCAUUUAGGUCAUAACACCUAUAAGCCUUAAUAUUUGUUGCAUACCCAAUGAAUACACAUUCAUAGGCUCUACUAGUAAGUUUAACCCUCUUCGGAUACGUGACUCUGAAAUAAGCCAGACAAUCCCAAGUUAUAAAGUAAGACAAGUUUGUUUGUCUUUUCUUUAAUAUCUCAUAAGGAGAUAUCUUAUUUUUAGACUUGGGAAAUAAGCCAGACAACCCCAAGUUCUAAAGUAAGACAAAUUUGUUCCAUUUUAUUUAUAAAAUUCAUUAAAUAAACUAGAAUCAUACUCAUUUCCCAUAUCACUACAAAGUAUCUUAAUCUUCUUAUUGAUUUUCAAUUUCAUUCACAUAAAUUUUAAACAUGACAGGUGCUUUGUAACACCCUAAACCCCGAAAACAAUUUUAAUGCAUAAUUUAAUAAAAUUGCAAUCAUAAAGGGUGUCACUCACAUCAAACAUAUCAUGCUCGGUAACACAAGUUAUAAAUUUCACAUAAACACUUGUCAUUGCAUGCUCACCUUCACUUUGGGUAUCAUCGCAGCGGAAUCAUAAUUAAAGCGAUUAAAAACCAUAUUGCACUCAUACCAUUUAGUCUCAACUUCAACUUCCAUAACAAAUAAAGAGUUUAAAUAAAUCAGCUCAACAACCACAUUAGUUAUAAUACUUCAACAUAAACAUGACAUAAGAAGUGAAAGCAAACAUUUCCAGCCCGAUGUUACGUGGUCAGAGCAAGACCCUACUAAAGAAAACGACAAACUAUUAGAAGCCACUCCAAGAUCUACCUUCCACUUACUUCAGCAAUGUUAUUCUUGAGUAUCUACAUGAUGCCCAUGUAAAUGCAAUAUUCAAACAAAAGGGGUGAGAAUUCAUUUCAAUAAUAAACAAUAUAUAAUAAAGAAUAAAGUACAACAUGUACACAAUCAUGCACAAUAAUAUGUCACAUUCUCACACCCAAAUCAUAAUCAACAUCAUACACGACAACAUCUCAGUUAUCAUCAACAGCAUACAAAACCGCAUCUCAAUUAUUAUUAACAUCAUAUACAACAACAUCUCAUUCAACAACACAUCAACAAUAACAAAUACAAAUGCAAUACUUAUUCAAUAUACUCAACCCCGACUCGACAUGCAUGUGGUACCAAAUAUGAACACUCAUGUUCAUCUCACUCCAUGAUCCCCACCAUAGGAUUGAUUCCCUCUUGGAACCAGAGCAUACCAAAAUCGCUACCAUCACCAUAGGUAACACUUCACUAAUCCCCCAUAAUAGGAAUUAGCUACUCGCAACCGAUCCAUCACAAUGGGAUCAAGGCUCACAAAAACUCAUUACCAUCAACAUAGGUAACACUUCGCUAAUCCCCGAUAAUAGGAAUUAGCUAUUCGCAUUCGAUCCAUCGCCAUAGGAUUGAGGCUUACCAAAACUAGACCGAAGCCUAUACACCAAAAUGCAUGACUCUCAAAUCACAUGCAUUAACAAUAUAAGGUUAGCCAAAAGGAUCCCCACAUACAUCUCCUUAUUUAUGCAUCUCAUUAUUUAUGCAUCUCAUCAUUUAUGCAUCUCAUCAUUUAUGCAUCACUGUUGAGACAGUUUUUAAGUGUCGGGUUUUGUUAUCGUAUCCACAGAGAUUGUAAGAUAUCACUGCCGUUCAAUGGUUGAAUUAAUCUUAACUUAAUGUAACACUAGGGUUUUGGUUUUAAUCAAGUUAUCUUGCAUACAAAGUAAUUAANAACCGUAAGAAGUCAAGAUACAUACAGACGCUUUUAUCUAAUCCAUAUACCCCAUCAAUACUACAAAGAAAGCAAUAGCCAAGCUCGAUAAUCUGCAUCAACUGCGUAUCAACCCGUUCAUCUACACAAACCCAAAGUGCUACAAUCGUUCAUACGAAUUUCAACUCUCCGAUCUCUCUUGUGAUCAUUCCUGAAUCUGCGCUAUUUGUGUUCCUGAAAGCCACCAAUAGGAAUUGAAUUGAGAUCUUGAGGUGAAAUCGAACAACUGAGAGCCAUCACAAACACAAUCCAACAUCUCAAUAUAUGUAAUGAAUCGUCACAAUUCAGUAGGCAAUUUACAUACUCAAAUCUCCUUAAAUGAUGUUACACACACACACACUUGCAACCAACACACACCAUCCAUCAGAGGAAGUGACACCACACACACAUGAGAGCAAGUGGCUCGCAGCAUCUGGACCAACGUCAGCCAGACAAUUUGAUCGCUGCCCCCACUUAAACUGCGCCCCUGACGCAGAGCAUACCACAUGAUACCAUAGUACAUAAAUAAAAAACGAAAUAAACAAUUGCCAGCACACAGCCCAGCUACAACCCUACCCGUGACGGCUAUAUUGGCGCUACCACAAGCGCCACCCGUGAUGAGCGAAAUUUCUCGAAAAUAACUCCUCUCCAAAUUCUACCAGUUUCAAUUAGAGCAAUACGUGAAACUCUGAUAUACAACUAUACUCGAUUAACAAUUUCCAAAUAUUAAAUAUCAGUUCCUCUACCAACAUUAACAAUUUCAAGCCAAAAAUUACGGGACUCACUAAAAUUCAACAAAUAAGUCCUCUCUUCAAAUAAAAAUAAUGUUCGCGGAUAUUAGUGUGAUAUUUUAGGGUAGAACAUUGUGAAAUAAUCAAUGUAUAAAAUAGGAUUUUACACCAAAUAACUAUCAACCCGUUUACAAAAAAAUGCCAAAAAACAAAUAUCAGAAGUACGCAGUAAUGAAUCAUAGUUACCUAACCAGAAUAUUCCCGAGCACCAUAUUUAUAUACGUUAAGCCCUGAAAGGUUUAAGUUUUUUACCCUAUUCAAAGCGUCUUCAUUUAAAAAAGAUAUUAAUGAUGGUCAUGUGCCAUAUAAAUCAUAACUAUUGAAUGACGCAAAGUUGUUGUAAUGUAGCACAGUAUGAAGAUUGACUCCUGAGAUCAAAACGAUGGAACAUGAAUACUCCGGCUCUCUGAGUAAUGAGACGCAGUUAGAAAUAGAACACAAUAACAACUUGAACUAAAUAACUAGUUUGAAGUUGAAAAACUUCACCCCCCCAAAUGAACGAGCAUAUAUAUCGAUAAAUUAGGUCAUCCCUGAUCAAAUGCAUCUCCACCUCACCACCACUUAUCUCUUCUCGUUCCAAUAUCCACUUCAUGACCCACAACUGAAUCUCUCGUCAUAGAGAUACAUUCCACUGAUCAAAAUCUAAACUGAUCAUCAAGACCUUGUCGUCCAGCAGAUGCAAACAACAUGACUGAUUGACUAGGAUGCCUCUGAUUUGUAUGUAUCUUCAGGAGCCUGGUGUGCAUAUACUCUGUCUCACUAUGCAAACCACCAAAAUUCUACGCUACACCCCGGCCCUCAAUAGCUGUGACUGCUACCAUAAUCAACUAACCAUGUGCCUUAACAUAGCAUAAAUUUUACCCACACAAAGGCAGAAUAUGCUUUGAUCUUAAGUCUGACAUACAUGCUAUAGUAUUCAAACAAAACUUUGUGACCGCAAUCUCAUUACCAUCGCUAACAAAUGAGUGAAGAAUAUAAACACUCUCUUCUCACAUAUGUUGACAGCCACGCCAAGACUGUUGCACAUAUCCAACGGUCAGGCCCUUCAAUGGAGAGAUUAAGGUCAUAUCUGCAUGCUUGAGGAGCUGGAUGUUGACCGGUCUCGCGUCCCAAAAAAAGGGACAUGUAAAGACAAACUUCAUAUUCCAUUGCUCGACAAUUCACUAGCAUCUCUUUACCUGUGACUUUAUUCUAAACUGCAUAACUUUAAUCCAAGUGGAAAUAUCCAGUUAUCCUCAUUUAUACAACCAUGGCCAAUGCCAUCUCAUUCAACGGUAAGACAAUGUAUCUUUUAGUCGUGUUCUCGCUAUUGUCACGAUGAUACCACUUACGUUACUGACUAUAACUAUGUGACUAUGCAUUACUAUAUAGUUACUAGUGAACAUCGUUUUAAUAUUUGUCGAAAAAAGAACAACCACUUAAAUAUACUACUAUGGAACGAAAAAAAAA